ACCCUCUCGCCGGAAAUCGCCGCCGCCGCCUUCGCCGCCGCACCGCCACCGUCGCCGGAACCCCAUCCUUUACCAAAAUUUCCAGAUUUUCUUCUCUUCCUUCCCUCUUUCCAUUUCUCCAACCAAAAUCAAGAAAUUUGGCCAUCCAACCCUCCAAAAACCUUAGAACCCGAAGCUAAAUUGGGGCUUUUUGUGAUUUCUUCUUUCCAAGUUCAAAUCAAGAGGCUAGGCUAUGGGUUUGGCAAGGAUUUGUGGUGAAGAAGGCCAAUGAGGAGGAUUAGGCCAUGAGUUUUGAAGAAGAAAGCGAAACACGAUCGUUAAGGAAGCUUAAGCGGAAAGCACCAGAGUGUGGAAUACGCCGGCAUUUCCAGGUAGGGUGAGCUGUCCCUUCCUUGUUAGAGGCUUUUCUAUAUGUGGAAUGCUCUAGUAUCAUAAUAUGUUGCCUGCAAGUACGUUUUUGGUUGUUCAUUAGUCGAUGCCUCGUGAUAUCCGUGUUUCCAUAACUGAUAAUUGCUUAUUGUGAAAACCGAGGCUAGACUUGCAUGUUGAGAUACUGUACCCAUUGUAUGUUUGUACUUGUGACCUGAAAGUGAAUGGGACCUAGACGCGUAGAUUCCUAGGGAUCCCACGGUGUCGAUAACCGUGAACCUCCGGAGGGGGCCGUGCUCCUAUGUUUGUCGAAAAAAAAAGUGAGUAUAGACAGUGAACCAGUCAUAGGAGACUCAGGGCCAGGAAAUGGACACUUUCGCUACUUGUAGUCAGAAGUACUACAGAGUAGUUGGCCGGUUCUCGAAUUCAGGACGAACCAGGUCGGUCACCGAUUUGAUUU